GCGGGUGUGGCGGAAUUGGUAGACGCACCAGAUUUAGGAUCUGGCGCUUUGAUGCGUGGGGGUUCAAGUCCCUCCACCCGCACCA
rnacentral:tRNA from 1 species